ensembl:lncRNA
GUAAUAUCUCCAGAUGGGCGUGUGAUACCCUUCCUCACCCAUGCCAACAAGAUGUUACUUCUUGUGGUGUCUUUGCCUUGAAAGUAAGUAUAAGAGUAUAAGUAAUGUACAAUUAACCUACUGAAAGUAUACUCAAUAAAAGGCAAAACAGAACUGUCAAAUUAUAUUAUAGCUGUGUCGAUGUAAACUUGCGAAUUAGAAUCUUAAGUGUAACACAAUUUUGUUGGGGAAGACUGAAAUGCCCCUCAAAUGUUUCCCCAGUUUGCUGAAUAUGUUCUGAAGGAGGAGUCGAUUGUCUUUUCAAAUACUGACAAAGAUGUUUAACAUCAUGAGAGAAGAAAUAGCAGUCACUCUCCUCUAAAACACUGAUGGCCUGAGCCAACUGUGCCACUUCUGUGGGGAGGUGGACAAUAAUGAGGAAGACACUAACUGGAAAUGUCCAAUUGGUUGUGACCGCUGCCCACGAUGGAGACGUAUCACCUGGAACUCUUUCCAUAAAAAGUGGACUAAAUGUUCAGUCGAGCCGUUGCAGC